AAAGAUUUAGUUUAAUUAAAACAUAAAAUUGUCAAUUUUAAAUUACUAUCUAAUAGUAAUCUUUU
rnacentral:tRNA from 1 species